rnacentral:rRNA from 1 species
AUAGUGAGGUUUGGCACCUCGAUGUUGGCUUAGGGAAUCUAUAUGGCGCAAAAGUCAUAUAAAGAUGGUUUGUUCAACCAAUAAUACCCUACAUGAGCUGAGUUCAGACCGGCGUGAGCCAGGUUAGUUUCUAUCCUCAAUUUAAUCAUCUAUUUACAGUACGAAAGGACCUAAAUCAGAGUAAUAAUUAUAAAAUAAAGAACUAAUAUAACAUAAGUUUAAUAAGCUACACCUAAAAACUAUA